rnacentral:rRNA from 1 species
GACGAACGCUGGCGGCGUGCUUAACACAUGCAAGUCGAACGGAAAGGCCCUGCUUUUGUGGGUGCUCGAGCGGCGAACGGGUGAGUAACACGUGAGUAACCUGCCCUUGACUUUGGGAUCACUUUAGGAAACUGGGGCUAAUACCGGAUAGGAUCUCCUGCUGCAUGGUGGGGGUUGGAAAGUUUCGGCGGUUGGGGAUGGACUCGCGGCUUAUCUGCUUGUUGGUGGAGUAGUGGCUUACCAAGGCUUUGACGGGUAGCCGGCCUGAGAGGGUGACCGGCCACAUGGGGACUGAGAUACGGCGCAGAGUCGUACGGGAGGCAGCAGUGGGGAAUAUGGCACAAUGGGCGGAAGCCUGAUGCGGAAACGCCGCGUGCGGGAUGACGGCCUUCGGGUUGUAAACCGCUUUAGCCUGUGACGAAGCGUGAGUGACGGUAAUGGGUAAAGAAGCACCGGCUAACUACGUG